rnacentral:rRNA from 1 species
AAAAGUGAAAUACAACUUUCAACAANGGAUCUCUUGGCUUUNGCAUCGAUGAAGGACGCCGCGAACGUGCGAAACGUAAUGUGAAUUGCAGAAUUCAGUGAAUCAUCGAAUCUUUGAACGCAUCUUGCGCUCCUUGGUAUUCCGAGGAGCAUGCCUGUUUGAGUGUCGUGAAACCACCUCGACCCUCCCCCUUACCUUCAUCGGAAAGGGUGGGGUUUGGAUUUGGACGCUUGCGGCAAACGGAACCUUAUCUUCCCNGCCGCUNGUCUUUAAAUGCAUCAGCUGGUCCCUCGAAGUCGGUCCAAUGAAACGGUGUGAUAAUUAAACGCUUCGUUGACUGUGGCGCCGUUUUGUGCCGACUCGUGUUUGGGGGUUCGCUUACAGUCGUCUUCGGACAGUUUGNNGUCGUCUGACCUCAAAUCAGGUAGGACUACCCGCCGAACUUAAGCAUAUCAAUAAGCGGAGGAAAAGAAACUAACAAGGAUUCCCCUAGUAACGGCGAGUGAAGCGGGAAGAGCUCAAAUUUGUAAUCUGGCGGUC